CACCACCCUGUGUUCACCUGCGCACUUCCAGCUGAUCACGUGGGCCCGCCACCCUGGUCUCCUGCCCCUUGUACAGGUGAAGCUACUGCGGCACAGAGAGGGCGAGUGACUUCUCCUUGGAGGGUGCACAGCAGUAAAAGGACGGAGCUGAAAAUAGAACCCUCUGCCGCCCAGAGCCUCUGUCUCCUUGACCUGUGACCUCUGGCCUCCGAAGUGAAACAGCAUACAUCCAUAAGUUGAUGAGUUGUAAAACCACCGUGGGAGUUUGGCUCGACAAGGGCCCUUUUCCAUUGGAAGUUUGCAAUCUUCUGGGGAGACACUCGGUUGGUGAUUCUGAUGCCAUGAUGAUACUCAUUCCUUGGACAUUGCUUCUCCAAACUAUAGUUCACAUAAUGGUGGGUCAACCCUCUCAUGGCCUGCUCACCUUCACUGCUUCCUCUGCCUUUAUUUUCUUGACUCCUCUAAAAGCCUGCAUUUCAACAUCUCAGUGAUACAUCUUUUUUUGCACUUUAUUGGGUCCACUACUAUUAUUCCUGUCUCUUUCCUUAGCUCUCUUGGAUUAUCAACUCUGUUAGUCAGAAACCAAAAUAAUGGCAGAAGGAGGUCCCCAGGGAGCGAACAGACUGGCAUUUGCCAUUCCAACCGAGGAAAGGCAGGGCUGCCUAUCGGUGCUCUUGGAAGAGAGCUCCCACAUUGCUCCCUCUUCUAGAGCAGCUGACCAGGAAGUGAAAACUGACCGUUUAAAACACAAUUCAGAAGAGCAAUUUUCAUCCGGGGAGGAGGCGAUUCUACCCCCCAGGACACUUGGCAAUGUCUAGAGACAUUUCUGAUUGUCACAACUUGCAGGGGGUGGGGGCGCCUACUGGCAGAGGCCAGUGAUGCUGCUAACCUAACCAUCCUGCAAUGCUCAGGAUAGCCCCACAACAAAGAAACAGCUGCCCCCAAACGUCAAUAGUGCCACAGUUAGAAACCCUGCAGAAGAGUUAUGGAUAUAAGUGAUUUUUAAUUAUAAAAAUA